UUAUAGUACAUGAGUUUCCAGAUGUGAUCCAGGAAGAAAUUUUCUGGAUGGAAAAUAAUUGACCUCUUACUCUGUCUGCUUCUGAUACAACCAGCUAGGAGGAUUUACAAAAGUGACUGGUUCUGUUCAGAUAAAAUGCCAAGGCUCUUCUGAUGUCCAAGGUAAAAGAAGUAGUCCAGAAUAUGCUGAACUGAAGAACUGGUUGGUGAUACCUCAUUCUGUUGAGACCAGAUGGAGAAACACCUCCAUUUAGCAAGGUCCAUUUGGAGAAACCCCACUGCUGGAAGACCUAUCUGGCCACAUCUGGGCACUCAAACGAUCUGCUCAGGUGGUCUGCAAGCAGGUCCUGCUGAGGAGGAGGAGCAGAAUAUCACUGUGUCUGUUGUGGCCGAGAGUGCUUCCUGACUGGAGCACAUAUAUACAGACCUAAGAACUUCACAGUGGCUCUAGAGUCAGUAAGUCCAUGGAGCUUGCUGCCCAUCUGGUACAAGAAUAGAGCAGGACCUUCAAAUGGUAAGUCCUGGAUAGUACUGUGGACUUCAUAGGGAAGACCAGAAGACUGCAGCCAGGAUGAUCUACGCUUGGCCACUGCGGAGACCCUGGGUUUAGUUGCCGAAUUUGUUGCCUCCAGAACUGCAGUGGAGUUCUCGUGCCCAGUCUGCCCUCAUUGACCAGUACUGAGGAUAACAACCAACGCAACAUAAGGGGCCCCCAAUUCAAAGGCAAGUCCAAAUGGAGGCAUUCCAGGGGCUUAACUCAAUGAACCUGAGCCACAGUAACUGUAGAUCCAGGAAUGCAUCAUGUGUGCUAUCAGGCUUCAAGUAUGAAACUCAUGAUUUAUAAUCCUGUGUAGGGUGUAAAUCCACAUUAAAGUGUUGGCUCUCAAUAUGACCUGUUGCUAUUGCUAUGACCUGAGCCACAGUGUAAUGAUUUGUACUUCAGUGCACAAAAUAAGAAGUACCAGAUCCUUAUGGGGUAUGCUCUUGAGGACUGCCUCUUUUAGCAGAGGCCAACACCUAUGAGGCCAAGUGUGAUGAGAGGUACCAGCACCUUUGAGGCCCCCUCCUGGAGGCUUUGUGGUCCUGCCACAGCCCGUUCCAGGAAAGAAGCAGUGAAGUUGGGUCCUUCCUGGCUACCAAUAGAAAGACUGCAGGAAAGCAGCCAAUCAGAGCCCAGCAGGCCCAGUUAAAAGGAGCUGCAUUCCUGGCUGGCACCAGAAGGGCGAGGAAGGGUUGGAUGACUGUGAAAUUCUACAGGCAAGGAGGCCCGGGAGAGACCCUGCUCAAGCAGGAAACAGAUGGAGAAAACCCAAGGACUGUAACCCUAAGGAGGAUCCAAUGUAUGCAGAAUCAUUAUGACUGGUCCCUGAAGUUUGGCUACAGAAAAGGAGACUGACAUCUGCACUGGGACUCUGCACAUCUUCAACCCUCAUCAUCAAUACACCUCUGCCCAAAUGGCCUAAAAAGAUCUGGGGGCUUUUGCAAUAUGCCUGGAAGAUUAAGAAACCUGACUUUGCCAACUAACAAAGUAUCAGAUCACGGAAUGAAGGUGUCAAGAUGCAGCAGACGUGAUCUGCAAUAUAUCUGCCUGCGCUGCCAGGAUAUUUUCCUCUGACUUAAUACAAUGCAUUUUCUUUAUUGUUACAUGGCUGGAAAACUGGUCAAAGGACAUCACUCAUGUCCAAAGAGCCUAGAAAUGUUUGCUGUGGAAAAACAUGGAAUUUGCAUUUUUGCAGAGAAUCUUUAGCUUUUAUAUUUUGUGAAUAAACAUUAACUAUUUACUAAAUUGUAAA